rnacentral:lncRNA from 1 species
AUAGGGAAUAUAAGCACAUGUUGAAGAGGCCCCAUCCUGAAGGAGCUCACAACUCAGUGAGCUAAUCCACUGAUCCCUGGGACAAAACCCAACAACUUUCCUAUGUACUAGAAUUGAAGUAACAUGCUAUAAAGAAUACUUCAAAUUUAGGUAAACCAAUGACAGACUUUAUAGAAAAUCUAACUUCUUGGCAUAUGCAGACCCUCCCUUCGGAAAUACUUUGAAGACUGAAUUUGAAAAGAAAGUUAAAAGAGACUUUGAAAAGUUGAAAGUACUGUCAACAGGAACAGUUCUAAAUAUGACACAAUUAGGUUAUGGUUCAAUUUCUUCAUAGCAGAAUCAAAUAACAGAGCUGGGAGGCAAUCUGGAACUCAUCUAGUCUGGUCAUCUCAUUCCGCAAUCUAGACAACAGAGGUUCCAGGAACAGAGGAACUUACCCAAGAAUUCCCAAUUUGUGGAGAGCUCUCAGAUCUCUUUUCUCACAUCACAAUCUGAUUUGAUACAAAUAAGUCACAGUAGAUACUCCAGGCACUCCGCAAAAGAAAUGUGAUGGAUUGUUUCUAUGGGCAGCUUCUCUGGAUUCCUAGGCUGUGAAGUUGUUCCCCUAGUGCACGGUGAAGACUGUCUCGCCUUAACUCUCUGCCAUUUGAGAAGCGGAGCUGAGAACAAGACCUAGCUGGGUUUCAACUACAGGGCCACGGUCAUCAUUAAGUCUUGGUGGAACCUGAGAUGUAGCUAGGCCAGUAUUUGGGAGGGAGCUGUGCACCUGGAUGCAGUGACAUCAUUCAUCGUACUGAGGGCCCAAGCUGACCACCAUGUAUUCAUUACUCCCUAAAAACCAAUACUGUUGGUUUAGGAUUUGCUACUAAGGUAAGCUCUUUUGAAAACAGUUAUUCCUGGGGUUAGUUGCAUAAGUG